GUAGGUGGCAAGCGUUGUCCGGAAUUAUUGGGCGUAAAGCGCGCGCAGGCGGUUCUUUAAGUCUGAUGUGAAAGCCCACGGCUCAACCGUGGAGGGUCAUUGGAGACUGGAGAACUUGAGUACAGAAGAGGAAAGCGGAAUUCCACGUGUAGCGGUGAAAUGCGUAGAGAUGUGGAGGAACACCAGUGGCGAAGGCGGCUUUCUGGUCUGUAACUGACGCUGAGGCGCGAAAGCGUGGGGGGAGCAAACAGGAUUAGAUACCCUGGUAGUCCACGCCGUAAACGAUGAGUGCUAAGUGUUAGGGGGUUUCCGCCCCCCCCUUAGUGCUGCAGCUAACGCAUUAAGCACUCCGCCUGGGGAGUACGGCCGCAAGGCUG
rnacentral:rRNA from 1 species